AAUUAUGGAAUGUUAUUUGCGAAAAUGGUUACUAAACUUCAUUUCAUUUUUUAUGAUUUAGUUGUCUUUGGUUUGUGGGUAUAUAAAAAUAUUUCAUAUAAAAUUCAGUGCAUAUUUUAUAUUCGUUAGUAAUAUGAAAUAAAAGUCAUAAACUUAAAAAAUAAAAAGUUAACGUAAAAUUUGCAAGUGCCCGAUAAAUAAUAUAAAGCUAUUUAUUAAUAAGUUAAAAAAGCUACUGAGUUAGGUCACUUACUAAUUCUCCAAGAAAACUGAUGUAUCCGAUCGCAAGCUUCAAGGUAUCGACUUUGGACAGACGUUUCUCAUAAGGCAAUGUUGGAAUGUGUGCUCUUAAACCUUCAAAAGCGUCAUUAAUGGAUUGCAUUCGACGUCUUUCCCGAAGAUUCGCGGCUUGCCUCUGUUGGAUUUGUUGCUGCGGACAACGCGAGCGUCGCUUGUGAACGCGCCGGUAUUCUGAUCUAAAUAAAAAUGAAAUUAAGCUUUGAUUCUUUGCAAAUAUUAUCCUAGUUUCAUUGGAGCGAAAUAAAGAUCGAAUAAUGCACUAAUAAUGUAAUGUAGGUACUUUAAUGCAGAGCCAACCAUUUAAAGUUCUCGAGACUCUCCGGUUGUAAGUAAAUAUUUUGUAUUACGAUGCACUUUGUUUACGUAUUAAGAUUCUGAAUUAGAUGGGUAGAUUUGAUUUAAUCUGCAUUUGAUUAAAUAAAUUUCAAAUGGUACACGAUUAUUUUUCAAACAUUCUUAAACAUACAAAUAAACUAUGCUUCGUUUAAAAGAUUAGGUUGUAUAAUCAAGUAUUUACUCACUCAAAAAAUAUUUCAUAAAACAAUAAGCUAUAAUUGAACACAAAAAUAUUCGCUGUAAUGCAAAUGAUAUUCUACAGUUUUUUUUUUACGAGAUUACAUAAAAAUCAAACAAGAAAA